UUCACACAGUAAAUUUAAUAUCGCAUAUGUAUUUAGUACUCUGGCUAGGCACAAUAGAUUUUAUUAAGUCAGUAAUUUCUAUAAAGUCAUUUGCAUAACGCAAACGCUUUUGUAGGCUAUGACUGGGAUGGCGUCAUUUUGUCGCUUUGUGUUUCUGGUCUGGAUUAUCUGCGUUGGACAACUUGGAGCAAUAAGAUCAAAUCUUUUUAUGUUAAAAAAAGAGGCAAAUAUUAAAGUAGUUAGUCAGAAAGAAACAAGUAUAUUUUCAAAAAACGCGCAUGCGCGAUAUUUCUAUGGAGGUAGUCUCUGGAAACCUUCUCAACACCACUAUAUAACUAUUAUAUACCCUUUUUCAGUUUUAUAGCGGUAACUCGAUAGGAUAUAUAAAGGUGUUGAGGAAGUUUUCAGGACUUUGGUUGCACACCUUGAGUGUUAAGGGUUACCAUAGGAACAGUUAUAAAAUGGACCGUUUAGGGCAUAUAAGUGUUAUAUAAUGGUUACCAAUAACUCACGACAACCAUUCUAGAUGCGUUUAGGUUGUAUAAUAUGGUGUUGGGAAGUUUCCUAA